rnacentral:misc_RNA from 1 species
GAUAACUGAAUCGCUAAGGAUGAAAGUCUAUGCGACAUUAUC